AGCUUUAUAUUCAUAAAAUGAUUUUAAAUUGCAAAUUUAAAGGUGAAGAAUAUUCUAAGGCUU
rnacentral:tRNA from 1 species